AUACAAGGUUCUAUGAUAGUUUCAGGUCAAAAGAUUACAUGCACAACUCUCACUAUAAGAAAAUAUCUUUUGAUGGAUAAGUAAAUUUUAUAAGAUAUUUUUUAAGUCGGAUCAAUUUAGUAAACUCAUUCUCUAAUGAGCAUCCACUUUCUUGUAUUGGUGUCUCACAUAAGUAGCUUAUGAGAUUAGCCACCCUUUCUAUCGAGCAUAC
rnacentral:lncRNA from 1 species